UUCAGCCUCUCCCUUCCUUCUCAUCUCCCAUUUUGCCUUCACCCCGGUUCUCUCUCUUUUUCCCAUUCCUUCAGAUUCUCAGCAUACUCAGGAACAUUUUCGACUAGGUAAAUCGCAUUCUUUUUCUUUAGUGUUUCUAUUGAAAUCAUAUGCGCUAGUUUAUUCGCUGUUCACGGAAUGUGUUCAAACCAACAUCUGUUAUUUUGAGCCAUUAACUGCUUAAUAUCAUGAAUAUAUGCCCCGACCAUUGAUUUGUCUUUACUCUUUACCUUGCACUUCUUUAUUAUCGAUAAUGCAUCCCCUUCAAUGAUGAGUCUUGGCCAUUACAUGUUGAUGCCAAUAUGGGUUGCUGUCAUACAAGCGAUUGCUUCGGCAGCAAAAACUGAAGCAACUUGGUGGUAAAUCUCUGAGAAUGAUAAAAGCACUGUACCUUCACUGUCCCUGGCUACGAUCCCCACUGCCGAUUGACAAAUAUUUCCAUCGUAUGCGGCGACGAAGUUGAUCUUCACGAACUUUUUAGGUGGGUGUUUCCACCUUGUAACUUUUGAGAGAAUUUUUAGUAUUCUCUCUUCAUUUCCAUUUAGCUCGAGAAUAUAACGGUUUAUGAAAUCUGCUAUUUAUUUUAUAGAUCUGCUCAUCUUCUCAUGUAUCCUCUUGUCCUUUGCUCCCCAGAUUGCCCACAAAGCGCAACAAAAAAUCCUGCACUGUGAAAUAUUUGUCUGUUCGAAAACCCAGGUGAGCCAUUAUAUGAACUCCAUGUAAUACUUUAAAAAUUUUUAUAGUAAGAUAUUAUCCUUGAUAUAGUAAAAUAAGGAGAUAAAGUGACAAAAAGGGAAAUUUUGAGUUAUAUUGAGAAGUAUAUUAUGAUAUAUUAAUUCAAGAAAGGAUUAAAUUGUAAAAGUGAGAAAAGUUUUAUUACAUAAGAGUAAAUAUUCAUAAUUUGAGGGGUUAAAGUGUAAAUAUGAGAAAGUUGAAAGACCAAUAGUGUAAAUAAUUUAAGAGUGGAAUGAUCUAGAAACUAAGUGGAAUGAUCUAGAAACUAAGGAAAAUGGAUGAAUUAGGAUCAAAUUGAAUAGAUGAAGAACUAUGAGGGAUUAAAUUAUAAUUUUACCAAAUUAAAUGAUGACUUAAGGAUGGAAUUUUAAAAGAUAAUGAAGGGCAAAAUAAUCAAUUGGAAGAGAGAGAAAUCUAAAAAGUAAUAAUGAUGCUAGAGAUAUUUUGAUAUUUUAUAAUUAUUUAAUUAGAUAAAUAUUAUUUUAUUAAUACUUUAAUAAGAUAUUUUAUUAUUAUUUUAUUAGUAUAUAAAGAAAAAAAGAAGAGAAAUUCUCAUCCAUAUUUUCCCAUGCACUAACGUGAGAGAAAGAGAGGAAAAAAGAAAGUUUUGCUUUCUUUACAAUUUGGUCCUUCUACUAAAAAUUCACCAUUUCACUCAAAAAUCAAAUGAAUUUUCAUAACUACCAAGAGACAAAAAUGUUAAGGAGAGCAUGGGGAGUUAGAAUAUCAAGUUGGUUUCAAGAAAUAGAAGCUUAAGGAGAGAGAAAAUCAAGUUAAAGACUAGUAUUAAUAGAACAAGGUAAGUAUAUCAAGAUUUCAAUAUGUUUUUAAGUUUGUUAUUAUUGACAAAGCAUGGAAAUAAUGUUAUAGUAGAGUUUUAUUACAUAAGGUCCUAUGUUUUUGAUAUGUUAGUGAAGAGAAAAUAAGAGAAAGUGAUGAGUAAUGGUGUCGAAAAAAAAAAUAAGGGUGUUAUAACAUGGUAAUUAAUAGCUUGCACAAAAACAAUUUGGACAGUAGUAAUAGACUUUAAAAAAUCACCAUAAAUUGUAGAAAUCGAAUUAGAAUAUGAAAAAAAUAUGUAAUUAAAGCUUAUUAAGUUUAGUUUCUCAUAGAAGAAAUAAUGUAAGUAAUGGAUUUGUAAAUUUUGAGAUAUAAUGAAUUUUGUGAGACAAGGUCAGAAUGAAUUCGGGUUCCCCUGUUCUGAAUUUUAAAAAUCAUAAAAAAUUUAAGAAAAAUAAUUAGGGGCUUAAAUUUAUAUGUAUAAAAUCCUGAAUGGGUAUAUUUUUAAGAAACAAACAAGAACAUCAUUUGAAUCCUGUAUGAGGAGAUAAUUAAUUUUUGGUGAAGAAUGGUCAGAACUGUUAGAAAGCAGAACAGUGGUAACUUUAAAGAAUAAACUGUACUUAUUGACUAAACCAAAAAUUCUAAAAUUUUUAUGAUAAGAAUAUAUAUGAGUCUAAAUUCAGGGAAAAUUAUCGGAUAUUAAUUUUGAGUUCUAUAGAUCCAGAUAUAAAUAAUUUAGUGACUAUGAUGCAGAUAGACAGCUUGAAUAUUCAUAAAAGUAAAUAAUAAGAAUUAUGGAUAAUGUUACUUACAAGUGUGUUAUCUAUAUUAAGGAUGUGGAAUGGAGAGGAGGAGGAGGAAAAAUAUGUAUGAAUAUUCAUUUAGCAUGGCUAAUUUGCAUAUUUUAGGCUCAGAGACUAAAUUGAAUAAAAGUAAAAUUUUAUGGGCAAUUUUGUAAACAUGUCAAAAAUGACCAAAUUGCAUGAAAUAGAUUAUUUUAUUAUUUAAAUUACAAAGUUGAAUGAAAUUAUUAAUUUAGUUCAAGAUCGGGGGAAAACAUGUUUUAGGGAUUAAAUUGAGAAGUGUUGAAAUUAUGAAAAAUUUUGAUAUUUUAUAGAAUUUAUGGAUUGUUAUCAAUAUAUAUGAGAAUAAUAUCUUGAAAUGAGGAUUAAAUUGCAAGAAUUUUAUUUUCCUGACCCUAAAGAUGAAAUUGUCAUUAAUUAAAAGUUUAGGGGCAAAAUGGUAAUUUUGCCUAGAGUAUUAAUUAAAUGCAUUAGAAUAUGAAAUGAAUGAAAAUGAUGAUAAAAUUUAUUUAUAAGGAUCCAGACGACUCAAAUAUAAGACUUGAUCGUGGAAAAGAAAAGAUAUCAGAUUAAUGAAAUUAUAAACACAAACAAGCAAGGAGGUAAGUUCGUGUAACUUGAAUUAUAUUCUUAAAUGCUUGAGAUUGUUUGUUAUUUAUGUGAAUAUGAUUUGAAUGUUUAUUGUAUGAAAAUUUAUGAAACAUUGAUAAAUUUGAUAAAAUGAGAAGAAAUUCCGGUUGAAUGAAAGGAAAAAUCGAUGGAUCUCUAAAAAGAAAUUGACGGUAAAAAGGAUUUAGCCCAGACGGAUGAUCCUAUCCUGAUAUAACCCUCCCGAAGAAUGUGUAAAACGGAUUUAGUCCAAACGGGUAAUUCGAAUUAGGGUUUGAAUUUAGCCUGGACUUGUAAUUCAGAUCCAAACUCAUUAGAGUAAUUGUCGUUGCAG
rnacentral:lncRNA from 1 species